rnacentral:rRNA from 1 species
UACGUAGGGUGCAAGCGUUGUCCGGAAUUAUUGGGCGUAAAGAGCUCGUAGGCGGUUUGUCGCGUCGGCUGUGAAACCUCGGGGCUCAACCCCGAGCCUGCAGUCGAUACGGGCAAACUAGAGUGUGGUAGGGGAGACUGGAAUUCCUGGUGUAGCGGUGAAAUGCGCAGAUAUCAGGAGGAACACCGGCGGCGAAGGCGGGUCUCUGGGCCAUAACUGACGCUGAGACGCGAAAGCGUGGGGAGCGAACAGG